AGAGUUUGAUCAUGGCUCAGGACGAACGCUGGCGGCGUGCUUAACACAUGCAAGUCGCGCGAUUCUCGAAGUUCGGGGUUGGGAGUUCGAACCUCGAACUUCGAACCUCGAACUUCGAGAAUAGCGGCGGACGGGUGAGUAACACGUGGAUAACCUACCCAUUAGACCGGGAUAACACCGGGAAACUGGUGCUAAUACCGGAUAAGCUCUUUAGAGUAAAAGCCUUAAAGAGGAAAGGGGAAACUCACUAAUGGAUGGGUCCGCGUCCUAUUAGCUAGUUGGUAGGGUAACGGCCUACCAAGGCGACGAUGGGUGGCCGGCCUGAGAGGGUGACCGGCCACACUGGGACUGAGACACGGCCCAGACUCCUACGGGAGGCAGCAGUGGGGAAUAUUCCGCAAUGGGGGAAACCCUGACGGAGCAAUGCCGCGUGAGUGAAGAAGGCCUUUGGGUCGUAAAACUCUGUCUUGAGGGACGAAAAAAAUGACGGUACCUCAAAAGAAAGCCCCGGCUAACUACGUGCCAGCAGCCGCGGUAAAACGUAGGGGGCGAGCGUUGUCCGGAAUUACUGGGCGUAAAGGGCGUGUAGGCGGCCUGUGUAGUCAAGUGGUGAAAACCCGGGGCUUAACUUCGGGAUGGCCCUUGAAACCAACAGGCUUGAGGACAGGAGAGGGGAGUGGAAUUUCCGGUGUAGCGGUGAAAUGCGUAGAUACCGGAAGGAACACCAGUGGCGAAGGCGGCUCCCUGGACUGGUCCUGACGCUGAGGCGCGAAAGCGUGGGGAGCAAAC
rnacentral:rRNA from 1 species